CCGGCACGGGUGAGUAACACGUAUCCAACCUGCCGUCUACUCUUGGACAGCCUUCUGAAAGGAAGAUUAAUACAAGAUGGCAUCAUGAGUUCACAUGUUCACAUGAUUAAAGGUAUUCCGGUAGACGAUGGGGAUGCGUUCCAUUAGAUAGUAGGCGGGGUAACGGCCCACCCAGUCUUCGAUGGAUAGGGGUUCUGAGAGGAAGGUCCCCCACAUUGGAACUGAGACACGGUCCAA
rnacentral:rRNA from 1 species